CCCUUAGAUGUUCUUGGCCGCACGCGCGCUACACUGACGAUGGCAACGAGUUUUUCCUUCGCCGAAAGGUGUGGGUAAUCUUUUGAAACAUCGUCGUGCUGGGGAUAGAUCAUUGCAAUUUUUGAUCUUGAACGAGGAAUUCCUAGUAAGCGCGAGUCAUCAGCUCGCGUUGAUUACGUCCCUGCCCUUUGUACACACCGCCCGUCGCUACUACCGAUUGAAUGGUUUAGUGAGGACUCCUGAUUGGCGCCGCCGCCCCGGCAACGGAGCAGCGGACUGCCGAAAAGUUGUUCAAACUUGAUCAUUUAGAGGAAGUAAAAGUCGUAACA
rnacentral:rRNA from 1 species